UUCCAUCUCUGUUGCGCUUGACAUGCCGUCCCUGCAGUUUGUCUUUGUUUUAAACGUGUGCACGUGAUUAUACCAAACAGAAUUGAAAAAGUAAUUAAUUUAGUAUAAUAUAAAUAAAUACAGCGUGUAAUAAUAAUAGAGUUAAAUAAAAAAUAUGUCCAACAAGAAUAUGCAGAAAUGAAUGUUGGAAUUGUGGUUGGGAGAUAAUCGAUUUGACGAAUAUUCAGGCGCACACAUGCUUCGUCAACUUUAAUGACCAAAAACAUACUUUAAUUAAAAGUAGAAACGGAGUCAUCAGCAUGAGAGAAUUAACAGCAAAAGAUAAGAAAGAAGCAGCCGAAAUUCGUUUGAUAAAUGCGUACGCGGAUAGACCUGGGUUAUAUAAUAAAACAAUCCAGAAAACUUUAUCGCCUGAGGACAAAGAGAGGCUAUCGGUGGAAGUUGCCGAAUCUACAAAUGCAAAUCUGUCUGUUGCCGACGUGAAGCGUAUGAUAAGGAAUUUACGAGAUCAAUUUAAAAAGGCUUAUAAUAAGAACAAUCCAAGCCUUUUCCGACAUUUUCAUAAAAUGCUGUUUUUAUCAGAUUCCGGCAAUGAUGGGACAGUGUAUUUCAGAACAUUCUUGGGAGGUUCUGGGAAUAUCUAUUUGUUUGUAAAAUUUUGAAUAUCUAUGAACAUAUCAUCGGAUUAAAUUAUUAAAAAUAUGUGAUAGAAAUUAUUCAUUUUUCAUUUUAAUAACAUUUGUAGAAGAACAAAUCCUUCUGGAAAAGAAAAUGUAGAUUGUUCGAAGAGAAUACAAGAUGAGAGACCUUCCACUUCAUCGAAGGAAGGAUAAAACAAUGUCCAAGAAAGAUGAAUUACAAAUGUUGCUUUUGGAAAAAAUCCAGUCACACAAUGUUCCAAAACCUGAUCAUACAGACAUGUUAUUUGCCGGUUUAUCUGAAUCAUUUAAAAAAUUAGAUACAAUACGUCAAUUAAGAGUUCUCAGACAUUUUGCUGAAAUAUUAGAAACAGAGUAUACAGAUCAAGAAAAUCAAAGGCAAUAUGAUUCAGAUUAAAAUGAUUAGAGACACGUUUCAUUAUUUAUAGAAAAGUUUUUUAAUUUUUGUUUUUAAAAAGUAUGAAUAUUGUCUUUAAAUUACGUUAUAUUGUUUUAAUAGAAUUUCUGCUAAUUAAAAGUUGCUAGAUAGAUAAGACUACAAGU